UCACUUGGACCUAACUCUCCUGACACAGCAAGUCUCCGUGACCCUGUUUGCUCCAGGUCAGCCCUGCUGUGAAAUUCUGCUCCAACCACGUGAUCCUUGCCUUAGAGCAAGGAGUUCAGGCUCCUUGUUCAGACUUAGGGAGCCUCAUCUAAAGUCAGAACAGUACCCUCAUAUGCAAAGCCACCACGAGGCAGAAGUUCUUAGAGAAAUUCAAGCUGUGCUCUGUCCAACAAUGAACAGCGUCCACGUACAACUAGGUGUGUGCGUUGAUUUUGUCAUCACUGUGACUAACUAUCUGAGAAGCAGACACCGAGGGGUGGAGGUUUGUUUGUUUGGUUGGUUGGUUUUGGUUUUGGUUUGUUUUUUGGAAGACUGUCUUGAGUGGAUGUAGUCCACGAUGGAGGGCAAGGGGUCUACAGGAGAACAAUUUGCAAUUGUGGCAAGAGGAAUUUGAGGUCCCAGCUUUGAGCACUGUCACGUCACACCUGAUGGUGGGAUUUCUGAGAAGAUGAUGGGCAAACACUCCACAGGAAGCAGGAAGAAGGAAAGGAAGGACACUUCCCUGAUUCCGGUGCUACAACCUAAUGGUUCUCUCUUCAUUUCUGGAGGUUUGGACAAAAGAUCAUGGUGGUUUCAGCUUUCCUCUUUCUAAGGAAGUUGCUUUUCUCAUAUUCAAACAAUCUCCACCUGAGAAGGAAUCUAAAACCAUCUGACCCCAGCCUCUUAUGCCGAGGUCGUCUCUUUGCCCACACAGUGGUCCCUAGGCUCAGUCUCAGCCGCUUCAACCACACUGCACCGCAUCUUGUCCAUUCCAUUUGUGGAACAAGUGAAGUUGAUAACAUGUUCUCCAUGUGUAUGGUCUUACUAGUCUAGAAAUCCUAGCUUUAAAGAGAUUAUGAUCGCCUCUAUUGGUCAGAAGGUGUAAUUUAAAACUUUUAAUAUCAAAUUGUAGAGUAUAAAGAAAAUUUGGUAUUUCUGAA